AUUGAACGCUGGCGGAAUGCUUUACACAUGCAAGUCGAACGGCAGCACGGACUUCGGUCUGGUGGCGAGUGGCGAACGGGUGAGUAAUGUAUCGGAACGUGCCCAGUCGUGGGGGAUAACGUAGUGAAAAUUACGCUAAUACCGCAUACGAUCUAUGGAUGAAAGCGGGGGAUCGCAAGACCUCGCGCGAUUGGAGCGGCCGAUAUCAGAUUAGGUAGUUGGUGGGGUAAAGGCCCACCAAGCCAACGAUCUGUAGCUGGUCUGAGAGGACGACCAGCCACACUGGAACUGAGACACGGUCCAGACUACUACGGGAGGCAGCAGUGGGGAAUUAUGGACAAUGGGCGAAAGCCUGAUCCAGCCAUUCCGCGUGCAGGAUGAAGGCCCUCGGGUUGUAAACUGCUUUUGUACAGAACGAAAAGGUUUCUACUAAUACUAGGAGCUCAUGACGGUACUGUAAGAAUAAGCACCGGCUAACUACGUGCCAGCAGCCGCCGCAG
rnacentral:rRNA from 1 species